rnacentral:rRNA from 1 species
CUACCAUGCAGUCGAACGAUGAACCACCUUCGGGUGGGGAUUAGUGGCGAACGGGUGAGUAACACGUGGGCAAUCUGCCCUGCACUCUGGGACAAGCCCUGGAAACGGGGUCUAAUACCGGAUACUGACCUGCCAAGGCAUCUUGGCGGGUCGAAAGCUCCGGCGGUGCAGGAUGAGCCCGCGGCCUAUCAGCUUGUUGGUGAGGUAAUGGCUCACCAAGGCGACGACGGGUAGCCGGCCUGAGAGGGCGACCGGCCACACUGGGACUGAGACACGGCCCAGACUCCUACGGGAGGCAGCAGUGGGGAAUAUUGCACAAUGGGCGCAAGCCUGAUGCAGCGACGCCGCGUGAGGGAUGACGGCCUUCGGGUUGUAAACCUCUUUCAGCAGGGAAGAAGCGAAAGUGACGGUACCUGCAGAAGAAGCGCCGGCUAACUACGUGCCAGCAGCCGCGGUAAUACGUAGGGCGCAAGCGUUGUCCGGAAUUAUUGGGCGUAAAGAGCUCGUAGGCGGCUUGUCGCGUCGGUUGUGAAAGCCCGGGGCUUAACCCCGGGUCUGCAGUCGAUACGGGCAGGCUAGAGUUCGGUAGGGGAGAUCGGAAUUCCUGGUGUAGCGGUGAAAUGCGCAGAUAUCAGGAGGAACACCGGUGGCGAAGGCGGAUCUCUGGGCCGAUACUGACGCUGAGGAGCGAAAGCGUGGGGAGCGAACAGGAUUAGAUACCCUGG